AUGGCUGUCGUCAGCUCGUGUCGUGAGAUGUUGGGUUAAGUCCCGCAACGAGCGCAACCCCUGUCCCAUGUUGCCAGCGUGAAAGACGGGGACUCAUGGGAGACUGCCGGUGACAAAUCGGAGGAAGGUGGGGAUGACGUCAAGUCAGCAUGACCCUUAUGUCUAGGGCUACACACGUGCUACAUUGGCCGGUACAAAGGGCUGCAAACCCGCGAGGGGGAGCGAAUCCCAAAAAGCCGGUCCCGGUUCGGAUUGGAGGCUGAAACUCGCCUCCAUGAAGUCGGAGUUGCUAGUAAUCGCGAAUCAGCAACGUCGCGGUGAAUACGUUCCCGGGCCUUGUACACACCGCCCGUCACACCACGAAAGUCGGCAAUACCCGAAGCCGGUGGCCUAACCCGUAAGGGAGGGAGCCGUCGAAGGUAGGGUUGAUGAUUGGGGUGAAGUCGUAACAAGGUAGCCGUAGCGGAAGCUGCGGCUGGAUCACCUCCUUUCUAGGGAUACCGGAUGCAAAUAUUUCCGGUAGGCGCUCGGCCAGUUCAGAUGGCAAAAGCCAGUAUGGAAACGCACCACCCGUGAGUAAUCACAGCACUUGUGAGCACACACGGGGCCGUCCUGUUCCCGAGUUCGCCUAGAACGAACGUCGACCUCGACGAACGCUGUUGAGUUUUGAGAGACCGUGCCGGCCCGCUCUUUAGCGGGCCAUUUCGGUUGUUCUCGGUAGGGCGGAGUAGCUCCGCGCGCACCUUGAAAACUCCAUAGCAGUAACUAGCGAGUUCUUCACGAUCAAGAGACUAAGAGCACACGGUGGAUGCCUUGGCGCCAAGAGCCGAAGAAGGACGUGGGCGGCUGCGAUAAGCUCGGGUGAGGUGCUGACCAACCUUUGACCCCGAGAUUUCCGAAUGGGGAAACCCGG
rnacentral:sRNA from 1 species